rnacentral:rRNA from 1 species
UACGAAGGGGCUAGCGUUGCUCGGAAUCACUGGGCGUAAAGGCGCGUAGGCGGCCAUUCAAGUCGGGGGUGAAAGCCUGUGGCUCAACCACAGAAUUGCCUUCGAUACUGUUUGGCUUGAGACCGGAAGAGGUCAGUGGAACUGCGAGUGUAGAGGUGAAAUUCGUAGAUAUUCGCAAGAACACCAGUGGCGAAGGCGGCUGGACUGGUCCGGUUCUGACGCUGAGGCACGAAAGCGUGGGGAGCAAACAGG